GGUCGCUUAGCUCAGUUGGUAGAGCGCCACGUUCACAUCGUGGAUGUCACUGGUUCGAGUCCAGUAGCGACCA
rnacentral:tRNA from 1 species